rnacentral:rRNA from 1 species
GACUCUCGGCAACGGAUAUCUCGGCUCUCGCAUCGAUGAAGAACGUAGCGAGAUGCGAUACUUGGUGUGAAUUGCAGAAUCCCGUGAACCAUCGAGUCUUUGAACGCAAGUUGCGCCCCAAGCCAUUAGGCCGAGGGCACGUCUGCCUGGGUGUCA